rnacentral:rRNA from 1 species
UACGGAGGGUGCAAGCGUUGUCCGGAUUUAUUGGGUUUAAAGGGUGCGUAGGCGGCUUUUUAAGUCAGAGGUGAAAGACUACAGCUUAACUGUGGCAGUGCCUUUGAUACUGGAGAGCUUGAGUACAGUUGAGGUAGGCGGAAUGCAGGGUGUAGCGGUGAAAUGCAUAGAUACCCUGCAGAACACCGAUUGCGAAGGCAGCUUACUAAGUUGUCACUGACGCUGAGGCACGAAAGCGUGGGGAGCAAACAGGAUUAGAACCUACCGAGUCAGAUCCAAGCCAGU